rnacentral:rRNA from 1 species
UACCAGCACCCCGAGUGGUCGGGACGAUUAUUGGGCCUAAAGCAUCCGUAGCCGGUUUUACAAGUCCCCCGUUAAAUCCAGCUGCUUAACAGAUGGGCUGCGGAGGAUACUAUAGAGCUAGGAGGCGGGAGAGGCAAGCGGUACUUAGUGGGUAGGGGUAAAAUCCGUUGAUCCAUUGAAGACCACCAGUGGCGAAGGCGGCUUGCCAGAACGCGCUCGACGGUGAGGGAUGAAAGCUGGGGGAGCAAACCGG